CGCCCGCCCUUAUUGCCCAAACCGAAACCCUAAAACCCCAAUCUCGUCCAGUCGUCCCCAAUCCGCAACGGCGCAAUCCCGACCCCAAUCCCUCAUCCGCCUCCUCCUCUGCCGUCUCAACCGCCUCCUCCUCCGCCGCCUCAACCCUAAAAUCUGCAGCUUUGUUGGAGAUCACAAUCCGAUGGCUUCGAAGAUCCAGCAACGACAUUUGAAGGAGUCAAGAACUUGCUACUUCCUAGUGAUCUGCGCCGCCUCCGUCUUCAUCUAGUAGCUAGGGUUUUUCUCAGAGAGAGCUCUCCGCCGUUCUUUUCGCCGUUGAUUGAGCUGUUGAAGAUGAUGUUGCUCCUCUAACUGAAGUUUCAAAAAUUGCUCCAACUCUGGCAUAUACUGGUUAACUGACUGUUGAUGCUGCAGAGAACCUUGAAUUUGUUCAAUAAAUGGCACAGAUGAAUUCUGACGAGAAAGCAAGCGCUGCUGCUGAAGUUGCUGAAGCUGCUGCUGCCGAAGCAGUUGUUGCUGAUGCUGCAGAGAACCUUGAAUUUGUGAGCUAGUAGUACGUCUAUAACUGUAGUUAUUUUGGUUGAUUUUGGUUGAUUCUGUAAUGUUUAUACUGUUUCCUUGCGUUGUGAUUAUUGUCAGUCGCAGCAUUGUCAAUUUGGGGGCUAAGAUUUACUUUCUCGUAAAAUCCCUCUCUUUUGAUCUUUGUUUCCUGGUCUUUUCUUUCUUCUGUCAUGAUCCUGUUCAUGCCUGAACAUUUGAAAGAUGGGAAAUAAGUAGACUAUGGUUGUGCUACUAUUUUGUUUA